CAGCCCCUCCACCUGAUGACCCACAUUAACAGGGAAGGAGAUGAAGGCAUUCAGAUUUGGUAUGGCAUCGUCAUUCUACUGACAAGCCAUGGCCCGUUAACAAAAUUUACCAAGGACCACAGUUCUUUGCUGCGACAUUGGCUGGGUUUUGCUGACCACAAUACCAUUUGAAAUGGAAAUGUUGUUGCGAGAAGAAUCUGUCUUGGGAUACAAGCCUAAUAGCAAGAUCACAGAGGGCAUGGUUCCCACGAAGGCUGUCCAAGGGAGAUUCAGCAACCUACUUGAUCAGCAUGGUUUCAAGAUCAUUGGGCUUGGGUGUCACGGGGGCCUGGAGAAACCAUCACGUUGCAUGGAUGCUCGGAGACACUUGUCACCCCUGGAAUGCCUGCUGUGAACAAGAGCUGGGGCUGAACCAAGCUAAGAUUAUUGACAAUCCCUAUCAUGUUGCCAAAGUCACCAAUGGCAGGACUGAAGAUGGAUCCAUUGGAAACUGAAGGCUUUUCCUCAACCAACACCUCAUGAACUAGACUGGAAAAUAGCACAGGUGAUCAAGACUGAUACCGCACAAUCGUCCUCCUGGUUAACAAGCUAAGACCAAUCCAGAUGGGGAGGGUUGGCCCUCCAACACCACUACCAAUGCUCUCAGCUGGGAUCAGUGGACUGCAGCAAUAUCUUACUGAAGACAAAGAUAAGGGAAUCUACAAUG